AAGACAAAUGGACGUACAGGAACAGAAGGUGCUGAGAGUUCAGUAAAUUAACCCAAACUCACAAAAUCUGCCCAUUUUUACUUUAUCUGAGGAACGUUAAUCUGCACUCAAUAUCCCAGAAUGUCACUGGACCUCGUUUUUAUCUGAGCCAAACAAAUAACACGUGUAAAAGGGGAUUAUUCACUAAACUGAGAGCAGAGCGAGGAACUACCAG